AUAAGAACUUGUCAGUGUGUGUUAAACAGUUUUGUUUGUUACAGUUUCAAAUGGAAUAAAGGACUUGUGCAGAUCCCUCAAGCUGACAAAAUAUGACUUCCACAUCAAGAAAUGACAAGGAUUUUGCAAUGCCUUGGUCCCUGCACCCUGCCAGUAAUGAUGCCAAGAAGUAUGACAGAGAAGAGGGGAAAACCAGGCCUUCCUACAGAGGUCUACCAGUGACAUGUGCUGGCACUAGAUGUACUAGAUGCAUUAAGGACUCCUGCUACAGAGCUGGUCAGCUAUUAAAAGAAGACAAUUUCUUGCCAGACAAGAGCCAUUAUUCUGGAUCUGGUGAAACUUCUGAGUGUGGGACUAUAAUUAACAAGACUAUAGCUAAGCAACUCUGUCAUGAGAGAUUCUGAGCAUCCAAGGAUGCAGACACAACCUUCUAACUCUGGACUUCCCCAAGACAUAGGACUUUACGUUGUGAUGUUGAGACAAGCA
rnacentral:lncRNA from 1 species